CCUACGGGAGGCAGCAGUGAGGAAUAUUGGUCAAUGGACGAGAGUCUGAACCAGCCAAGUAGCGUGAAGGAUGACUGCCCUAUGGGUUGUAAACUUCUUUUAUAUGGGAAUAAAAUGUUCCACGUGUGGGAUUUUGUAUGUACCAUAUGCAUAAGGAUCGGCUAACUCCGUGCCAGCAGCCGCGGUAAUACGGAGGAUCCGAGCGUUAUCCGGAUUUAUUGGGGUUAAAGGGAGCGUAGGUGGAUUGUUAAGUUAGUUGUGAAAGUUUGCGGCUCAACCGUAAAAUUGCAGUUGAAACUGGCAGUCUUGAGUACAGUAGAGGUGGGCGGAAUUCGUGGUGUAGCGGUGAAAUGCUUAGAUAUAACGAAGAACUCCGAUUGCGAAGGCAGUUCACUGGACUGCAACUGACACUGAGGCUCGAAAGUGUGGGUAUCAAACAGGAUUAGAUACCCCUGUAGUC
rnacentral:rRNA from 1 species